rnacentral:rRNA from 1 species
GACGAACGCUGGCGGCGUGCCUAAUACAUGCAAGUAGGACGCACAGUUUAUACCGUAGCUUGCUACACCAUAGACUGUGAGUUGCGAACGGGUGAGUAACGCGUAGGUAACCUACCUAUUAGAGGGGGAUAACUAUUGGAAACGAUAGCUAAUACCGCAUAACAGUAUGUAACACAUGUUAGAUGCUUGAAAGAUGCAAUUGCAUCGCUAGUAGAUGGACCUGCGUUGUAUUAGCUAGUAGGUAGGGUAAAGGCCUACCUAGGCAACGAUACAUAGCCGACCUGAGAGGGUGAUCGGCCACACUGGGACUGAGACACGGCCCAGACUCCUACGGGAGGCAGCAGUAGGGAAUCUUCGGCAAUGGGGGGAACCCUGACCGAGCAACGCCGCGUGAGUGAAGAAGGUUUUCGGAUCGUAAAGCUCUGUUGUUAAGGAAGAACGAGUGUGAGAACGGAAAGUUCAUGCUG